ACUCAAAGGAAUUGACGGGGGCCCGCACAAGCAGCGGAGCAUGUGGUUUAAUUCGAAGCAACGCGAAGAACCUUACCAGGGCUUGACAUCCCUCUGGCCGGUACAGAGAUGUACCUUUUCUUCGGAACAGAGGAGACAGGUGGUGCAUGGUUGUCGUCAGCUCGUGUCGUGAGAUGUUGGGUUAAGUCCCGCAACGAGCGCAACCCCUAUCUUUAGUUGCCAUCAGGUAGAGCUGGGCACUCUAGAGAGACCGCCGGGGAUAACUCGGAGGAAGGUGGGGAUGACGUCAAAUCAUCAUGCCCCUUAUGUCCUGGGCUACACACGUGCUACAAUGGCCUGAAACAGAGAGAAGCGAAGCCGUAAGGUGGAGCAAACCUCAGAAACCAGGUCCCAGUUCGGAUUGUGGGCUGCAACCCGCCCACAUGAAGUCGGAGUUGCUAGUAAUCGCGAAUCAGCAUGUCGCGGUGAAUGCGUUCCCGGGCCUUGUACACACCGCCCGU
rnacentral:rRNA from 1 species